rnacentral:rRNA from 1 species
AGUGAACGCUGGCGGUAGGCCUAACACAUGCAAGUCGAACGGCAGCACAGUAAGAGCUUGCUCUUACGGGUGGCGAGUGGCGGACGGGUGAGGAAUACAUCGGAAUCUACUUUUUCGUGGGGGAGAACGUAGGGAAACUUACGCUAAUACCGCAUACGACCUACGGGUGAAAGCAUGGGAUCUUCGGACCUUGCGCGAUUGAAUGAGCCGAUGUCGGAUUAGCUAGUUGGCGGGGUAACGGCCCACCAAGGCAACGAUGGGUAGCCGGACUGAGAGGGUGACCGGCAACACUGGGACUGAGACACGGCCCAGACGCCUACGGGAGGCAGCAGUGGGGAAUAUUGCACAAUGGGCGAAAGCCUGAUGCAGCGACGCCGCGUGAGGGAUGACGGCCUUCGGGUUGUAAACCUCUUUCAGCAGGGAAGAAGCGAAAGUGACGGUACCUGCAGAAGAAGCACCGGCUAACUACGU